CCUACGGGAGGCAGCAGUGAGGAAUAUUGGUCAAUGGACGAGAGUCUGAACCAGCCAAGUAGCGUGAAGGAUGACUGCCCUAUGGGUUGUAAACUUCUUUUAUAUGGGAAUAAAAUGUUCCACGUGUGGGAUUUUGUAUGUACCAUAUGAAUAAGGAUCGGCUAACUCCGUGCCAGCAGCCGCGGUAAUACGGAGGAUCCGAGCGUUAUCCGGAUUGAUUGGGUUUAAAGGGAGCGUAGGUGGAUUGUUAAGUCAGUUGUGAAAGUUUGCGGCUCAACCGUAAAAUUGCAGUUGACACUGGCAGUCUUGAGUACAGUAGAGGUGGGCGGAAUUCGUGGUGUAGCGGUGAAAUGCUUAGAUAUCACGAAGAACUCCGAUUGCGAAGGCAGCUCACUGGACUGCAACUGACACUGAGGCUCGAAAGUGUGGGUAUCAAACAGGAUUAGAUACCCCAGUAGUC
rnacentral:rRNA from 1 species